CAAGCUUCCUAUUUCCUCCCACCUCUCACACCCUCUCAGCUUCCUGAGAUGAAUAGAAAAUCACCUGAAAAACAGACUGUUCUUUGGUCAUUAUUCAUGCCCCUGAUAUCUUGUUAAGGGCUCCAGAACCCCACAUUGCUGGAAACAGCCACACUCUGAGAGAAACCCACACAAACAUUCAGCAUCCAAUAACCCUUCCUUCUCAUCCAUUUGCUGAUGCUAUUGUUUCCUGCAAAAGGCUUCCAUCUCCUCUCUCAAUGUCUUUCCUCCAUGCCUAGAAUGCUCUCCCUCCUUGCAUCUCUCUCUUAGAAUUUCUGGCUUCUUCAGUAUUCAGCUGAUUCACCAUCUAAAAAGGCAACACAAAUGGGAACUGAAAAGAGGUGAAGGGAGGUAACCAUGGAGGUAUAUGAGAGGAGAGAAUUGUCUGAUAGCAGCAUGCUGGGCCUUUUGGCAUCUUAGUGUGGCUACAAGCUAUUGUCCAGUUCUACGGAAGUCAUUGAAAGUGUCAACCCUUGUGACCAUGAUAUCAAGAAGAAGAGGGCAUGAUGGCAGUAAAUUUGGAGAAUAAUAAAACGAAGACCUAUGGUUCAUUUUAGUUCACAAUCAGAGCAUGAGGGAAUAAUUUAGUCUUAAAGAAGUAAUGUUAAUUAUGCUAAUGUUAAUGUUAAUUUUGGACAGCAAACCAGAAAUCCUUGAAUGAUAGUUUGUUUAGUUUACAUUGUUUAGUUAGGAAAAAAAUUCUUGAGAGACUUAGGAAAUUUGAAGAGAAUCUGGAGGAUAGAGAAAACAGAUUCUGGACAAUAAGAUGAAUAAAAAACUAAUGUGAAC
rnacentral:lncRNA from 1 species